rnacentral:rRNA from 1 species
UACGUAGGGUGCAAGCGUUAAUCGGAAUUACUGGGCGUAAAGCGUGCGCAGGCGGUUAUAUAAGACAGAUGUGAAAUCCCCGGGCUCAACCUGGGAACUGCAUUUGUGACUGUAUAGAUAGAGUACGGUAGAGGGGGAUGGAAUUCCGCGUGUAGCAGUGAAAUGCGUAGAUAUGCGGAGGAACACCGAUGGCGAAGGCAAUCCCCUGGACCUGUACUGACGCUCAUGCACGAAAGCGUGGGGAGCAAACAGG